UACGUAGGGUGCAAGCGUUAAUCGGAAUUACUGGGCGUAAAGCGUGCGCAGGCGGUUCUGUAAGUCUGAUGUGAAAUCCCCGGGCUCAACCUGGGAAUUGCAUUGGAGACUGCAAGGCUAGAAUCUGGCAGAGGGGGGUAGAAUUCCACGUGUAGCAGUGAAAUGCGUAGAGAUGUGGAGGAACACCGAUGGCGAAGGCAGCCCCCUGGGUCAAGAUUGACGCUCAUGCACGAAAGCGUGGGGAGCAAACAGG
rnacentral:rRNA from 1 species